rnacentral:rRNA from 1 species
GAUGAACGCUAGCGGCAGGCCUAAUACAUGCAAGUCGAACGGGUGGUCGCAAGACCACUAGUGGCGCACGGGUGCGUAACGCGUAACCAACCUGCCCCGAUCUGGGGGAUAGCCCGCCGAAAGGCGGAUUAAUACCGCAUAUACCCGCAGCCUGGCAUCAGGCAACGGGGAAAGAUUUAUUGGAUCGGGAUGGGGUUGCGUGACAUUAGCUAGUUGGCGGGGUAAGGGCCCACCAAGGCGACGAUGUCUAGGGGACCUGAGAGGGUGAUCCCCCACACUGGCACUGAGAUACGGGCCAGACUCCUACGGGAGGCAGCAGUAGGGAAUAUUGGGCAAUGGGCGAGAGCCUGACCCAGCCAUGCCGCGUGCCGGAUGAAGGCCUUCUGGGUUGUAAACGGCUUUUCUCAGGGAAGAAAAAGACCUUGCGAGGUACACUGACGGUACCUGAGGAAUAAGCACCGGCUAACUCCGU